GGUUAGUGCGCUUGGCAAAUUCACAGGCCCUAUUUUGUGGUAUGAACUGAGAAUGCGAUGAUUUAUGGUGCGUAUUGGGGGCCGGCUCACCAUAAGAUAAUGUCGUGAAUUCGCCAAGCAUUCAAACC
rnacentral:pre_miRNA from 1 species